GACGAACGCUGGCGGCGUGCUUAACACAUGCAAGUCGAACGGGAAGGCCCUGCUUUUGUGGGGUGCUCGAGUGGCGAACGGGUGAGUAACACGUGAGUAACCUGCCCUUGACUUUGGGAUAACUUCAGGAAACUGGGGCUAAUAUCGGAUAGGAGCUCCUGCUGCAUGGUGGGGGUUGGAAAGUUUCGGCGGUUGGGGAUGGACUCGCGGCUUAUCAGCUUGUUGGUGGGGUAGUGGCUUACCAAGGCUUUGACGGGUAGCCGGCCUGAGAGGGUGACCGGCCACAUUGGGACUGAGAUACGGCCCAGACUCCUACGGGAGGCAGCAGUGGGGAAUAUUGCACAAUGGGCGGAAGCCUGAUGCAGCAACGCCGCGUGCGGGAUGACGGCCUUCGGGUUGUAAACCGCUUUCGCCUGUGACGAAGCGUGAGUGACGGUAAUGGGUAAAGAAGCACCGGCUAACUACGUG
rnacentral:rRNA from 1 species